rnacentral:rRNA from 1 species
GGUCCCGCCUGCCCUGUGACUAUAAGUUUAACGGCCGCGGUAUUUUAACCGUGCGAAGGUAGCGUAAUCACUUGUCUUUUAAAUGAAGACCUGUAUGAAUGGCAUCACGAGGGCUUAGCUGUCUCCCAUCUCCAGUCAAUGAAAUUGACCUCCCCGUGCAGAGGCGGGGAUAAUUACAUAAGACGAGAAGACCCUAUGGAGCUUUAGACCUAAAGUAAGUCACGUUUAACAUGCUAAAAUAACAGAAAAAACUUAGUGAUAUUUACUGAAGUGUCUUUGGUUGGGGCGACCGCGGGGUAAAACACAACCCCCAUGUGGACCGGGGAUAUUAUCCCUAAUACUCAGAGCCUCUACUCCAAGUAACAGAAAUUCUGACUUUUCUGAUCCGGUAUAACCGAUCAACGAACCGAGUUACCCUAGGGAUAACAGCGCAAUCCCCUCUCAGAGCCCAUAUCGACGAGGGGGUUUACGACCUCGAUGUUGGAUCAGGACAUCCUAAUGGUGCAGCCGCUAUUAAGGGUUCGUUUGUUCAACGAUUAAAGUCCUACGUGAUCU